rnacentral:rRNA from 1 species
UACGUAGGUGGCAAGCGUUAUCCGGAAUUAUUGGGCGUAAAGCGCGCGCAGGCGGUUUCUUAAGUCUGAUGUGAAAGCCCACGGCUCAACCGUGGAGGGUCAUUGGAAACUGGGAGACUUGAGUGCAGAAGAGGAAAGUGGAAUUCCAUGUGUAGCGGUGAAAUGCGUAGAGAUAUGGAGGAACACCCAGGGGGAAACCAGUCGACUGGGCAGCACCUGACGCUGAGGUGCGAGAGCGUGGGGAGCGAACAGG